rnacentral:lncRNA from 1 species
AAAGAUAGAAAGAAUUUAUACUUACAUGCAUAUAUUUGACUCCAAAUACUCACCAAAUUAUUUUACUCAACUAAUAUUGAACAAUAAGCUAUUGGGAUCAUUGGGACUUUGUGGCUUUCAAUUGUUAGGCUCUUUGGUCCGAGGUAGGUAAUAUGGGAAUGUGUGGCUAAUUUUCUUGAAUUGAGGUGAUUACGCCAAAAAUUGAAAGAUAGGCGUUUGAAACAAUGAAUUCACCUCUAGGGACUUAAAUAAACUCGAUUCUCCAAAAUUCACACGUCAACACUUUUGCCUUUUAGGCAAUGGAUCGAAUUUUCAACACAAUUCAACAACUAGUCCUUAUUUCUCCCUUCUAAUCUAUUCUUCUUCUUCUUUUUUCUUUUUUUUUUUUUCUUUUUUUCUUUUUUUUUUUUUUUUUUUUUCUCUUUUUUUUAAUCGAAGAAUUUAGAUAUAUAGAUAUAUAUGAAGAUGCACAUAUAUAUCUAUUUUUUUUUUUUUUUUUUUUUUUUUCGAAGAACAAGAAAGAUCUUAUAAAACAUUUCGACCGACUCCAAGGGAUAAUUAUUCAAAAAUCUCCACUUUUCUACCUUCCACAUAUUGGCUAAAAGAAAGAACACCUUUUCUCACCGAUGCUCAAAUCAAGGUUCUAAGGAUAAAAAUUUAAAGGUAGGCUUGAAAGGCUCAAACGGUUCAAAGAAGGCCCAAAUCACAUCCCAAAUCGCUUAUUACCCAACACUUCGUAUCAUAAAUGUCUUAAGGUGAGAUUUAAAACCGAACAAAGCAUGAUUGAGCACAAAUAAAUUCCAAAUUUAAAAUGCAAAACAUUCAACCAAAGCAAUGCAUAAGGUGUGAUUCCUAGCAAUAAUUCACUUCUACGUUCCGUUGAAUCGAAAGCUAAACAAAUACUAAUUCCUUAUCAACAUAAAACAAGCAAUUUCAUCAUCAAACAUUGGCCAUCUCCCAUCAUCAUAAUUCAUCGAUGCGUCGAACCAAAUUUUUUUUUUUUUUUUUUUUUUUUCGAAUAAUAAAACGAUAACUAAAACAAAAAAAAUAACGCAAGCAAACUAACAAACAAGCAAAACACAAAUAUAACCACCCCCAAACUUAAAAUUCACAUUGCCCUCAAUGUGAUUCGCCCAAAGUUUAAGGAUAGAAAACACCUGUUUAAACGGCGUUUUUCUUGCCCUUCCCCUUGCCUUUAGAAGUGAUUUCGCCUUGUGAGGUGCCCUCCCCGUCACGUCCUCGUUUCCCCAUGACUUGAGAAUGCGUGUGGAAGGGAUUAGGAGUGAAUUGAUGUGCAAAAUUUCCCCCAAACUUGAUUUGGGCAAUUCGUCGAACACCUUGUGGGCUUUAUUGAUGGAAUGGGUUUGUGGAGAAAUUUGCACCUUUCUUGAAGCCUCCCUGCGCAAAUCAACAAGAAACCCCCAAGAUUAAGUAGUAUGUGUGUGUAGUUGGUGAAUUUCUGGUGAAAUUUGUCAAAGAAAAGUGAAAUGUUUGAAAGAGGAAGGCUAGGGUUCGAAGUGGGGGAGAAAGGGGAUUUGAAAUUAUGAUUUUUUUUUUUUUUUUUUUUUUUUCGCACGGCCGUGCGAGAUUUAGGUGAAAAAUCCGCACGACCGUGCCCUUUCUCCGAAUUAGGCAGUAGCCUCCAAAUUUCGCACGGCCGUGCGAAAUUUAGGUGNNNNNNNNNNNNNNNNNNNNNNNNNNNNNNNNNNNNNNNNNNNNNNNNNNNNNNNNNNNNNNNNNNNNNNNNNNNNNNNNNNNNNNNNNNNNNNNNNNNNUAGGUGUACGGCCGUGCGAGAUUUAGGUGUAAAAUCCGCACGGCCGUGCCCUUGUCCUAUUUUGGGCAGUAGCUUCCCCGGAAUCUCACACGGCCGUGUGAAAUUCCUGCCCUUUUCUUGCACGGCCGUGUGAAUAAUUGCAAUUAGGUCCCUGCAAAAUGGAAACUUCCUAUUAGUGCCCCUAAAACUUUUUUUUUUUUUUUUUUUUUUUUUUUUUUGAAAAAUAAAAUAAAAUAACAGCCAAACUAAAAAUUUAAAAUGACAUAAAAUACAAAAAACGAAAGCUCGGGUUGCCUCCCGAGAAGCGCUAAGUUUACAGUCUUCAGCCAGACUUUGUUCUUGCUCUUCAAUUCCUUAGCUUUUGAACCCAUCUCCGUACUUCCUUUUGGAGAAAGUCUUGAAUAAAUGGGUUGAUCCGAUUCUUCUUUCGACUGGUUCGUUUAGGAAUGCCCUUGAAUUUAUUCUUCUUGAUGUCAUGAGGUUUGCCAACAUCGUCUCUUAUCACGGUGUUUUGAGUAGGUGUUGUAACCAACUCAACCCUUUUCUUUUGUUCUCCUACAUGCACAUUAGUAUCCACAAAAAAAUUUAAAUCAUGUAAUUUAACAGGAAAAAGUUUAGAAUCACUUACCUCAUCAAGAAGAUAACAUCCAUUAGCCGUAAUAGGCUUUUCAUCCACCCGGUACACCUUGAAGAUCACUGUUUCUUCCCCCACACUCAUUCUUAGCUCUCUCUUUCCUACAUCAAUAAUUGACCUACCGGUUGCUAAGAAUGGGCGUCCUAAAAUAAGGGGAAUAUUUUCAUCUUCCUCUAUGUCUAGUACUAGAAAAUCGGCCGGGAGUAUGAACUUAUCUACCUUGACCAAUACAUCUUCAACUAUACCUAAAGGGUGAGUAAAAGAUCUAUCGGCUAGCUGCAAGGUCACGGAAGUAGGCUUAAUUUCUCCUAAAUUCAAUUUCUCAUAAAUUGAUAAAGGCAUUAAAUUUACGCUCGCCCCUUGAUCACACAACGCCCGCCCAAAAUACCUAGUACCUAUUGUGCAUGGAAUGGUACAACUGCCCGGAUCUCUAAGCUUCGGUGAAAUUUUAUUUCCAAGGAUAGCACUACUUUGCUCAUUGAGGUCUAUGAUUGCUGCACACUCCGGAAGCCUCAUCUUCUUCGAUACAAGUUCCUUUAUAAACUUAACCCAAUUCGGCAUAUGCUUAAGCGCCUCAACAAAAUGAAUAUUAACAUGCAAUUUUUUAAGAUAAUCCAAAAAUGACUGAAAUUGCAUAUCAAGCUUGGAGUUUUGAAAACGUUGAGGGAAGGGUACCUUGGGAGUAGAUUCACUUACUGCGAUCUUUGUGUUGCUUGGCCCGACCUCGGUCUUUUCUUUGGGCUCCUCUACAAUAGGCGGUGGUGCAACGGACUUUUUAGGACCUUCCUCUAAUUGCCUCCCAUUUCGCAAAGUUACUGCAUUGCACUGCUCGAUGUUGCUCUUUCGAGGAUCUUCCGUAUUCGACGGCAAUGCUCCCGAUGGCCUCGCGUUUAGCUGGGUUGCAAGCUGACCCAUCUGUGUUUCCAAAUUUCGAAUGGAAGCUUGAGUCGACGUCAUGAAUUUCGCUAAGAUGUCAGCGAGGUCAACUCUUUGGGCCGGAGCUUGAGGUGGAUUUUGGAAUUCGGGCGCUGGCUUUUGUCCUUGCUGAUUUCCUCCCCAUCCAAAGUUGGGGUGAUCUUUCCAUCCCGGAUUAUAAGUGUUGGAGUACGGGUUCCUCUGUUGUCGGUUGGUGUCAUUCACGUAAUUUAGAGACUCUGUUUCUGCUAAGCACCGGUCGGGACCUUGGAUUGCAUGGACUUGCUGGGUCUGCAACGCUGCAACUUGCUUUGAUAGCUUUUCUAACUGGGCGGUGAUUGCGGUGACUCCGUCUAACUCCAAAAUUCCUCCCGUCUUUAUGGUUCCGCUAUUUGACCGGUCCGAUGCCCGCAUGUAUUUAUUCCUAGCGAUUCGCUCCAAAAGUUCGUAUGCUUCGUCAUAGGUCAAGCUCAUGAACAUACCGCCAGCUGCUGAAUCGAGCACCGUUCUCGAAUUAUCUUGCAAUCCGUCAUAAAAUAUUUGAAGUUGCCGCCACUCUUGAAGACCAUGAUUGGGGCAUCUCCGAAUUAAUUGUUUGAAUCGCUCCCACGUCUCGAACAAUGCUUCACCGGCUUCUUGUAAGAAGUUUUGUAUUUCUCUCCGGAUUCUCUCAGUUUUGGUUGGGGAGUUGUACGUAUUCAUGAAGAGCUGUGCUAGCUGGGGCCAAGACGAGAUGGAAUGCGGUGCACGAGUUUGUAGCCAUUCUCUUGCGGCUCCUUGGAGAGAGUGCUUGAAGAGGCGGAGCUGCAGUGCUUCCGGCGACACUCCGUUCAUCUUAUGCGAAUCACACGUUUCGAGGAAGUUGACCAAGUGGAGAUGCGGAUCUUCAUGAGCUAAUCCGCUGAAUAACCCAUUGUUUUGGAGCAUAGUAAGUAGUCCCGCUCGAAUUUCGAAAUUGUUGGCUUCAAUGGGGGGCUGCUGGAUGCUUGAUUGAAACCCAUUGAGUGUUGGAACGGUGUACUCAUGCAAUGCUCGUUGACGAGGUGGUGGAUUAAUUAGCUGACGUUGCUCUUGCUCGUUGACGAUCUCUCCUGCCGCAUUCGGUAAGCGCCCAGGGUCAUCUCCCCUACGAUUAUUCUCUUCUUCCAUUCGCAUAAAAAGUACCUAAACAAAAAUAAUAAAAAUAAAAUAAGCAAAUAAAAUUAUAAAAUAAAAUAAAUAAAACGGCUGAAGUAAGAAAAAUUGCUUAAAUUUGAUAUUAGAAUAAAUAGAUAAUAUAGUCGUAUUCCCCGGCAACGGCGCCAAAAACUUGUUGGGUGCUAAAUACCAACACGCAAGUGCACGUAUCGCAAACAAGUAGUAAAAGUGGACUCGUGAGAGUCGGAUGUCGAUCCCACAGGGAAUACACAAAUUAUCUAAUCCUAAGUACCAAAUUCUAACAAUUACGAUUUUUAUCCAGCCUACGCAAGUUUGUCAAAUAAAAUCAAUCAAACAAUUAAACUAAUUAUGAAAGCAAUUAAACACGAGAAAAUAUCAAUAAAAACGGACCUAGGAUUUUAUCUUCCCCCUAUGCAAAAAUCGCUCACCCAAAACCCCUCAAUUAUGAAAUAUAUGAUUCAUGAUUAUUAACCCGAGACACUAAUUUACUCAUAACCCGCUGUCGCGUGUAUUAUGAGUCUAGUAUUCAUAAACGAUUCACUAUAUGUCUAUGCAAACCAAUUAUGAAUAAAGCAUUAACUAACAAGUCUCGUAAUUGGCUACCUAAGGUGAUAUCUGUAUGUCUACGACACCACAUGCAAUUGACACACUCAUCCGGUGAAAACUACUCGAAGGCUCUUCUACUCACCGUCUAAUUAUAAAAAUAGCUCUGUCGAGUCAAUCCCAAUAAUCACAGAUAAAGCACAUAAAUUGAUCAAGUUCAUGCACUAACAAUCAUAUCAAGUAGAAGAAAUAAUCAUAAAAUCAUAAUUGCAUAAUCUCAAGAAAAAGGGUUCACAAUCCCUACAUAGGGUUCCAACAAAAUCCUAGAUUAAAAACUUAGCUCCGCAUAACGAAAAACAUAAAAGUAAUAAAAAUCAUAAAAGCUAUAAAUAAAAGUCAAAGAGGGGAACUAGGAUGAAGAUUCGUCAAGUCUUCGUCUUCUUUCUUGUGCUCCUUGAUCGCGUGUAGAAAGAUGAAAAAUAAAAACCUAAAGAUUUAAGAUAAAAGGUAAAAGAUAUCUCUAAUUGUGUGCUUGUGGCCUUUAAAUAGGGUGCAAAACUAUAAUAGGGCGGGUUUCCUUGUGUAAUUAGGAUUCCUUCACUGCGCCAAUUCGACCAUCCGGACGGCCGUGUGAGAUUUAUGCCUACAAUCCGCACGGCCGCGCGGUCCUUUAAUUCUCCAGAAUUCUGCUUUUUUUCACUUUUGACCCACUUUUUCUCCGAAAUUGCAGUUUUCACCCCAAAAGUUGCCAAUUCUUCAAUUUGCACCUAAAAUACAAUUAAUAACCAUAUUAAGCACCAAUUAUCGUAAAAACACAUCAAAAGCUCCAAUUAAAAGGUAUAAUUAAGUGUAUAAAUAUACACUUAACACAUAUGCUCAUAAAGCUCGAUCCAACAACGGAUUGGUGAUGAUUCAAAGAGCAAAUGAUAAAAAAAUGCAGCAAAACUUUGUCAAAAAACACAAAGUAAAACUUGUGCCGAAUUAAACUCAAACUAUAAAUUAACGUGCUAGUGGAUUGUGCCGUCUCUUCUCGUCGAAUGAUGAAGGAAAACUAAUACACAUACAAAUUUAUGUGAGAAGAAGACGGCUAUUUUGCCGAAAGAAGAGAAAAAGGAAAAGAAUUUUGUGAUACAUUACACUCGUUAAUGUAUCCGUGGAUCGAGCCAUCUCUUCGUCUCUUGAGUUUUGUGACUGCAACCAUAAACUCACCUUAUUAAUGUUAAUUCACGAAAUCAUAUUUUCAUGAAUUGGAAUUACUUGAAGAAGAGAAAACACGUUGAAGAAGAAGUUGAUUGUAUUAGGAUGAGAAAGGAGAAAAAAUGUGGUUGAAUUUCACUUACAAAGCGACGACCAAGUAAGAACGAAAGAAGAACACCAAAAUGGGGUGUUUUGCGUACACGAUUAAAGGCAAAAUCUUACAGAAACAACCCGAAAGUAGAGAAAUCGGCGACAUACCUAAAGCAAAGAUGCAAGUAGAACAAUAGACACUUUCUUGAGCAACUUGAAUACAAACCAAGAUCGAAAUUUACCGAGUUAUUUGAAAAGGGAACAUUUACCCAAAAUUCUCACAAAAAGUAAGUUUAAGUAUAUUUAUAAAACUAAAUCAUUUUUUUUGCAUGACUACUACAAAUAAUCAAUAAUACAUUAUACAACCAAAAGAAAGAAAUCAAGAAUUCUAAAAGAAUAAAACAGAUUACCUGAUUGAUCUUUGACGGCAAAAUUUCUCAAUAGAAGUAGAAACUUCCUCUGAAUGUAAUAAAUAACAUAAAAUAUUUUUGAUCCAUGUUAGAGUAUAUUAUAUUAUUAGAUAUUAUAGGAUAUUAGGAUUCUAUUAUAAUUUGAUUACCUAGAUUAGUUACGAUUUAGUAACCUAGUCAAACUCUAUUACCUCGUAUUAUUUCUCUAUAUAUAGUCCAUGUAAUUCAACCCAUAAUAUAAUGGGGGUUUCUAUUCUACUACGUAUUAUUAUUUCUUUCCUUCUCAUAUUUCUCAUAUUCUAUUCUUCCUAUAAUCCAUUUUGAUAAUUUCCGACUAGAGAGAAAAAGUCUUGUAAGCAAAACUGAUAAAAUUCCGACUAGAGAGAAAAAGUCUUGUAAGCAAAACGGAUAAAAGGAACAUGUAAAGAGGAGCCAAAUGACCAUGUCUCACACAUGUUAUUUGUAUGCCACACCGUACCCCCUGAAGACUACAUUGGGUGUUUUUCUUUUACCGUUGAUCUAUACACACUAAUGUAGGCGUGUGUGUAUAUAAACGGUAAAGAUUUACCCGAUCUAUAUUGUACCUGGUGUAACAUAGAAUAAACUGCGUAAUCCUAGAAUAAAAACUUAGCUACUCAUGUUCGUAACGAAAAGCAUAAUAAAAAUACGAAAAUUCAUAAAAAUCAGAAAAGAAAAGGAAAAAGGAAAACUAGGAUGAAGAGUCGUCAAUUCUUCGUCUUCGUUCUCUUGCUCCUUGAUUGCGUGUAGAAAAGAUAAAAAACUAAAAACUAAUAAUAAAGAUAAAAGGUAAAAGAUUAAAAGGUAGGUCUAAUUGUGUGCUCUUAGCCUUUAAAUAGGGUGCAAAAGUCUAAUAGGGCGGGUUUCCUUGUAUAAUUGAAUUUCCUUCACUGCGCCAUCACGACCACCCGGAGCGGUCUUUAAUUCUUCAGAAAUCUGAUUUUCUCACUUUUGGCCCACUUUUUCUCUGAAUUUGCAGUUUUCACCCCAAAAGUUGCCAAUUCUUCAAAUUGCACCUAAAAUACAAAUAAUAACCAUAUUAAGCAUCAAUUAUCGUAAAAACACAUCAAAAGCUCCAAUUAAAGGCACAAUUAAGUGUAUAAAUAUACACUUAACACACCCCCAAACUUGAACUUUUGUUUGUCCUCAAGUAAAAUCAAAUUAAUAGCACACAACAAAACCAUACAUCUCAUUACAUAGAUCGAUGGGUCAACUUCGCGUUUACAGAACUUGCAAUUAUGAUGACAAUUCAUAGGUAUUCGCAAGCUUAACAUUCAACGGCACUUAGUCACUCACUACUACAAAAAACCACAAAUCAUACAAUUGCUUCAAGUAUCCAAUAUUUGCAAGUUAAAGAUAGAAAGAAUUUAUACUUACAUGCAUAUAUUUGACUCCAAAUACUCACCAAAUUAUUUUACUCAACUAAUAUUGAACAAUAAGCUAUUGGGAUCAUUGGGGCUUUGUGGCUUUCAAUUGUUAGGCUCUUUGGUCCGAGGUAGGUAAUAUGAGAAUGUAUGGCUAAUUUUCUUGAAUUGAGGUGAUUACGCCAAAAAUUGAAAGAUAGGCGUUUGAAACAAUGAAUUCACCUCUAGGGACUUUAAUAAACUCGAUUCUCCAAAAUUCACACGUCAACACUUUUGCCUUUGAGGCAAUGACUCGAGUUUUCAACACAAU